UUUCCUAAAAUAUAAGACUCGCCAAAUUUUUAAUU
rnacentral:sRNA from 1 species